UGAAGUCCGAGCCGGAAGGAACCCCCCUAUCCGCCAGGGUCAGGGCACCGCAUCGUGGGUCCCGCGCCGCUCAGGCCAAUCGGUGGGUACCGGCUGCCCCUGGCUGCUCGGCUGACAGUCUGGGUCCCCGGCUGGCGCCGUCCCCUGGUGCAACCGCUGCGCUCCCCGCGGUCCGCGCAGUCUGGCCGCGUUCGGGGCCACUCCUCUCAGCGCUGAAGCUUUACAAAAUAUUAAUAAUAAGGCAAGAGAGAAA